rnacentral:rRNA from 1 species
AUUGAACGCUGGCGGCAGGCCUAACACAUGCAAGUCGAGCGAGAGGCGGACGGGUGAGUAAAGUCUGGGGAACCGCCCGCUGGAGGGGGAUAACAAUAGGAAACGGUAGCUAAUAUCGCAUACCAUCAGAUGUGCCCAGGUGGGAUUAGCUAGUAGGUGGGGUAACGGCUCACCAGGGCGACGAUCCCUAGCUGGUCUGAGAGGAUGACCAGCCACACUGGAACUGAGACACGGUCCAGACUCCUACGGGAGGCAGCAGUGGGGAAUAUUGGACAAUGGGCGCAAGCCUGAUGCAGCCAUGCCGCGUGUGUGAAGAAGGCCUUCGGGUUGUAAAGCACUUUCAGCGGGGAGGCGUUACCCGCAGAAGAAGCACCGGCUAACUACGUGCCAGCAGCCGCGGUAAUAC